UACGAAGGGGGGCUAGCGUUGCUCGGAAUGACUGGGCGUAAAGGGCGCGUAGGCGGCGAUCACAGUCAGAUGUGAAAUUCCUGGGCUUAACCUGGGGGGCUGCAUUUGAUACGUGGUUGCUUGAGUGGGGAAGAGGGUCGUGGAAUUCCCAGUGUAGAGGUGAAAUUCGUAGAUAUUGGGAAGAACACCGGUGGCGAAGGCGGCGACCUGGUCCUUGACUGACGCUGAGGCGCGAAAGCGUGGGGAGCAAACAGG
rnacentral:rRNA from 1 species